rnacentral:rRNA from 1 species
GAUGAACGCUGGCGGCGUGCCUAAUACAUGCAAGUCGAGCGAACGGACGAGAAGCUUGCUUUUCUGAUGUUAGCGGCGGACGGGUGAGUAACACGUGCAUAACCUACCUAUAAGACUGGGAUAACUUCGGGAAACCGGAGCUAAUACCGGAUAAUAUUUUGAACCGCAUGGUUCAAAAGUGAAAGACGGUCUUGCUGUCACUUAUAGAUGGAUCCGCGCUGCAUUAGCUAGUUGGUAAGGUAACGGCUUACCAAGGCAACGAUGCAUAGCCGACCUGAGAGGGUGAUCGGCCACACUGGAACUGAGACACGGUCCAGACUCCUACGGGAGGCAGCAGUAGGGAAUCUUCCGCAAUGGGCGAAAGCCUGACGGAGCAACGCCGCGUGAGUGAUGAAGGUCUUCGGAUCGUAAAACUCUGUUAUUAGGGAAGAACAUAUGUGUAAGUAACUGUGCACAUCUUGACGGUACCUAAUCAGAAAGCCACGGCUAACUACGUG